AAAAAGAAAUACACAUUAGAAAAUGCUCAAAAAAUUAAUGCUCCGGCAGAUUGCAGGACCAAAAUUUUUAAAUAGCUAACAAUUUUUUACACGUCACUAACAUAAUGAUAAACCCCAAUCACUUUGAUGAAGGCAUUGCUUCUCAAACAUAAACGAUAAAUUUUAGAGCUAUAAGUGCAAGAAAUUUUGGUAAGAAGACAUCUGAGUCCAUAAAUAAUCCAUUAACCAGGACAUAAAUAAUCCAUUAACCAGGAGGUCAGAGCACUCACAAUAAUUGACAAUAAAUGCAUUAGAACAGAAGUAAACAUCCAUCAUGAUUGAUUGGAAUUAC
rnacentral:lncRNA from 1 species